UCCUCCUACGGGGGGCAGCAGUGGGGAAUAUUGCACAAUGGGGGAAACCCUGAUGCAGCAACGCCGCGUGAAGGAAGACGGUUUUCGGAUUGUAAACUUCUUUUCUUAGUGAAGAAGCAAGUGACGGUAGCUAAGGAAUAAGCCACGGCUAACUACGUGCCAGCAGCCGCGGUAAUACGUAGGUGGCAAGCGUUAUCCGGAUUUACUGGGUGUAAAGGGCGUGUAGGCGGGACUGCAAGUCAGAUGUGAAAACCAUGGGCUCAACCUAUGGCCUGCAUUUGAAACUGUAGUUCUUGAGUACUGGG
rnacentral:rRNA from 1 species